rnacentral:lncRNA from 1 species
AAACGUGCAUUGUUCACGGCUGAUGAGGGGAACCAAUUGUUAGGUAUUCCUCCAUCAUAUAUAACCAAUUAAGUUCACCUUUUUGACUUAUAAAUGAAAUGAUUGAUAUGCAUGGCAUGCAUUUGUAUGUUUCAACAGUACCCAAACUUAAAAAAGGUGUACAAGAACAUCUAUAAAUGGAGAACUAAGCCAAGCCAAGCCUAUGCUCAACAUCAAGUAGCUUAUAAAUUAAAUGGAUUGUGGUACUUUAAGAAUGGCAGGUGGCAAUGGCGCCUUUCAUUCAUUUAUUCUCACUCUUCUUCUUGUUUUCUCUCACCUACUAUUCUUCAAUGCAGUCCCAACUUCAGGUAAUUUUUGGUAAGGGAAUAUGAUCUUCUACACGUCCAUCCUUAAUAUAUCUACUUAUUCUCAGAAUAAUAUUGCUUAUAUAAGUAUUAAUUAAUUCGUUAUUUCUUUUGUAACUAUAGGGACUAGACAUUUACUACUAUAUGAAACUCAAGAUUCUACCGCAUCUGGCUACACUCACCAGGUAUAUAUAUUACUCCAACCAAAUCCAUAUCUAUAUAUAUACGUACGUACAUAUAUAAGAUUGGUUAAAAGGUACGUAAUUGCACUACUAUAUAUCGUUCGUUCGUUCCCAUGUUAGUUGGAGGCUUGGAGCACGUACAAUUCAUUUCAGUAUCAAGUGAAAUCCAUACAAUAGAAUACGCAGUACAUAGUAUAAGCUAAAACAAGACAUUAUGGUAGCUUAAUAAAUAUAUUUAUAGUUAAGAAUUCUCUUAAAAUUUAAAUGAAAUAAGACUAAAUAGGUGUACAGAAGAUUUUUGGUUAAAUCAGCAACUUGAUUGUUCUGUAUGUAAUUUAAUACUAUGAAUGCGAUAGAUGUUUGAACAUCGGUUCCUGAGUUAGAAUUAUGAUAUAUAUUUGUACGUGCAACUAUAAAUAAUAACCAAAUAAAUAUUUUAAUUCACUAAAUUCUAAAUAUUGAUAAGUAAAAGUAUCAUAUUUGAGAAUAAAAUUAUCAAUACAAUGGUCAAUAAAAGUAUCUGAUAAAAUAUUUAAUUAGUUCAUCCAAGAAAGUAAGAAUGAAAGAAUAUUCAAUUGAAGGAACUAACUAACUAAUAAUUAAUGUCUUCAUAUAUAUAUAUGUAUAUGUUGAAUUACGGCAGAUAAACACCCUGGAUGUCGUGGAAAAAGAAGAGCUAAUUAUUCGGGGAAGGCUGGAUUUGGUACACAUUGACUACACGGAGGCUGGACCAAAUACCCGCCAUACUCCUCCUCCGACGGGCUAAUAUGAAUUUAGUAGUAGUAGCAUUUAUAUAUAGAUUAUAUAUAUGUACGUACCACAUACACGUGUAACAAUAAAUGUUAAGAUUGUGAAAAUAAUUGGCUGUCUUUAUUGUAUCCAAUCUCGAUCAUAUCGUCUUCAAGUUUUUUACUUGUCACUUGGAUUGGCAGCUGAAUAGCUAGUGAUCAGUGCCUUGAUAUUUUGUUUGUUGUAUGGCUUGUACGUACCCUGUCAGCUUAAUUAUAUAGUAGUAUAUAUGUAUGUGAUAACGAGCUAUGGUUCUUCUUAUUAUCUUUACAUCUAUUAUAAAUCAAAGACGUACGGUAUAAUUAAUUAGUUACAUUUUUACAUAAAUAAAUUUUUACCACGUCACGAAACUACACUUUUGCUGCUGCAUAUAUGACUAAAUAUUUUGAAAUACUUUUAAACUGAAUAUUAUCAGCUUGUUGAAUUGAAAAACUUUGCUCUCACUUGGACGCUCGCAUGAGGAUCUGCCACUGCAUCACAAUUGAUCACCCACUUUGUAUACUAUUAUAUAUGUGAUAUGUCUAAGAAGAAAUAAAUUAAGAAUGAGGGAGUUUGCACAUCGAAUAUGCACACACAUGCAUAAGACAC